AUUGAACGCUGGCGGCAUGCCUUACACAUGCAAGUCGAACGGUAACGGGCCUUCGGGUGCCGACGAGUGGCGAACGGGUGAGUAAUGUAUCGGAACGUACCUUUCAGUGGGGGAUAACGUAGCGAAAGUUAUGCUAAUACCGAAUAUUAUGUGCGCAGGAAAGCAGGGGACCUUCGGGCCUUGCGCUGAUUGAGCGGCCGAUAUCAGAUUAGCUAGUUGGUGAGGUAAAGGCUCACCAAGGCGACGAUCUGUAGCGGGUCUGAGAGGAUGAUCCGCCACACUGGAACUGAGACACGGUCCAGACUCCUACGGGAGGCAGCAGUGGGGAAUUUUGGACAAUGGGGGCAACCCUGAUCCAGCCAUGCCGCGUGAGUGAAGAAGGCCUUCGGGUUGUAAAGCUCUUUCGGCCGGGAAGAAAUCGUAUCAGCUAAUACCUGGUGCGGAUGACGGUACCGGCAUAAGAAGCACCGGCUAACUACGUGCCAGCCGCCGCGGUAACAC
rnacentral:rRNA from 1 species